GGGGAUGUGUGGUUUCGACAGGGCCGGAUCCCCAGGGAACGCGAGCCGAGGUGCCGUCAGGCCUCGUUAAACCGGCGGCAAAACGAAGUAACUGGCAACCGCCAGGAAUCUCUCGCCCUCGCCGCCUAAGGCGGUAGUGUGAGCGUGGAAGCAGCCUCGUCCCCGCGGGCUGUGGAAGCGUCAUUCAGCGGGGAUGCGGCUCCGGCGAGCGUCGCGUAACCGGAGCCAAAGCCCGCAAGGGGACGCGACUGGACCGAUCGGGAUGCUGCCGAUGGCAGCCUGGGCGGUCGACGACAAAGCAUCGGAUACGCUCGUAGUGGUCCCUGGCUGAUGGUUCUGGACGGGGAGUUCGACCCUCCCCCAUCUCCACCA
rnacentral:tmRNA from 1 species